UACGUAGGGUGCAAGCGUUGUCCGGAAUUAUUGGGCGUAAAGAGCUCGUAGGUGGCCUGUCGCGUCGGCUGUGAAAACUCGGGGCUCAACUCCGAGCUUGCAGUCGAUACGGGCAGGCUAGAGUUCGGCAGGGGAGACUGGAAUUCCUGGUGUAGCGGUGAAAUGCGCAGAUAUCAGGAGGAACACCGAUGGCGAAGGCAGUGGGCUGGGCCGGCACUGACGCUGAGGAGCGAAAGCGUGGGGAGCGAACAGG
rnacentral:rRNA from 1 species